AUGGCAGCUAAUUCUCAAGCUACAGCACAUACAACAACAGCUACAACUGAUGGGAGCCUGACCAUGAAGCUGUUGAAGAUGAAGAAGGACAAAGAAAGGCAGAUGGCAGCUAGAAGAGAUGCAGCACUGGAGGCCAUGAAUGAGUUGGCAGAGAAAAGAGAAGAGGAGGUAGAAGCAAAAAGGCAAGAAAUUGCUCUCAGGAAAGCAGAGCAGGCAGCAAGAAGAAGAAGAGCAGUAAAAGACAAGAAGGCUGAGGAAACAACAGCAAAGCAGCAAGCUACAGCAGCAAGGAAAGCUGCAUUGCAACAAUAG
rnacentral:rRNA from 1 species